rnacentral:rRNA from 1 species
UACGUUCCCGGGCCUUGUACACACCGCCCGUCACACCAUGGGAGUUGGCUUUACCCGAAGGCGGCGCGCCAACCCGAAAGGGGGGUAGCCGACCACGGUAAGGUCAGCGACUGGGGUG